GCUUAACACAUGCAAGUCGAGCGAGAAUCGUUUAUUGAAGGCUUCGGCUGGAAAUAGAUGAGGAAAGCGGCGAACGGGUGAGUAACGCGUGGGCAACCUGGCCUUAAGAAAAGGAUAGCCCCCGGAAACGGGGAGUAAUACUUUAUGAGAAUGAGAGAGGGCAUCCUACUUUCAUUCAAAGCGCAAGCGCUUAAGGAUGGGCCCGCGUAUCAUUAGCUAGUUGGUGAGAUAACAGCACACCAAGGCAACGAUGAUUAGCCGGUCUGAGAGGGCGAACGGCCACAUUGGAACUGAGAGACGGUCCAAACUCCUACGGGAGGCAGCAGUGGGGAAUAUUGCGCAAUGGAGAAGAACUCUGACGCAGCAAUACCGCGUGAGCGAAGAAGGUCUUCGGAUCGUAAAGCUCUGUUAUCAGGGAAGAAGAAAAUGACGGUACCUGAUGAGCAAGUCCCGGCUAACUACGCGCCAGCCGCCGCGGUAA
rnacentral:rRNA from 1 species